rnacentral:tRNA from 1 species
UAUGACUAGGUGUAAGAGGCACUUAAGUUUUUGAUACUUAAAGGAGUAGUUU